UACAGGGGGGGCAAGCGUUGUUCGGAAUUACUGGGCGUAAAGGGCUCGUAGGCGGCCAACUAAGUCACACGCGAAAUCCCCAGGCUUAACCUGGGAACUGCGUGUGAUACUGGAUGGCUUGAAUCCGGGAGAGGGAUGCGGAAUUCCUGGUGUAGCGGUGAAAUGCGUAGAUAUCUGGAGGAACACCGGUGGCGAAGGCGGCAUCCUGGACCGAUACUGACGCUGAGGAGCGAAAGCCAGGGGAGCAAACGGG
rnacentral:rRNA from 1 species